UGCUGGGCCUCGACGAAACCCCCGCAGAGCCGCCAGGACGCAGCGCCUUUGGGCGGCGCCGGGCGUGGUGGGCCGGGAAGUAUGGCGGCCGCUCGAACGCCGCGCGGCGGAGGCCAUUAAGGCGUGGACGGCCCGGAAGGCGGCCUAGGGACGCAAGCAGGCUUGGCCGCCUCUUUCGGCCACGGAGCCGCGCAGAUCCGGUUCCCGGGUGACCACUCUGUCGCCAUUGGGCGAGACCUACCUAGUCCUGACGACAACGGACAAAGGCCUUAAGGGGCCUGAAAGCAACCUCCAGUCCUGCAAGCUUCAUUCCUGAAUGGUAGAAAGCAGUCUUCAGCCUGAGACCCAUCCCUAGACUCUAUGGCACAAAGAGGCACUACAGAAAAUCCCAGAAUUUAUUCUGACUGAAGCAAUAUGCAACUGGCAAAACUGGCAGCUGAAAGGAUCCUGAAUAAGAAGAACUCCUCAAUUUGAAUCCAGGCUCUAUGCCAGGUAUUGGAAUACAAUAAGGAGCAAGACAGAAGAAUUUACCCGGUAGCAGGGUAGGAAGAUGACCAUCUUUGCAUCAGAAUAACUGUAUAGUAGUGUAGACAGGAAGUAAAAUGCAAGUAUAUCUUAAAAGAAAACAACAGUAUCUCUGUGAUUGAUACAUGAAGUGGCCAUCUCAAUAUGAUCAAUUAUGUUUGGAAAGAGAAAUUCCCUCAAACAUAUAAGAAUGGACUUUUAGUCUCACCUCCCUUAUUCCAGUCUUUGUGUAAUCUUGAAAGUGACACAGCCUUUUGUGGUAUUUUUCUGGGUUGUAAAAUGUGAAAAAAGAUUAUUCGCAUCUCAAAAUUACUAUCAGGAUUAAAUGAAAGAAUUUGCAUAAGAUAUUGAUCUGCAGUACAGUAUUUCAAAUAACUCAAGCACACACAUACAUAUUUGUAAUAUAUAUAUAUGAAAAAAGGCAGAUAAUGUCAUUGUAAUCUAGGUGAUAGAAAAAUUAUGAAAAUACUAAAUCAUCAAUUUGUUGGUAGAUUAAAAUCUGAG
rnacentral:lncRNA from 1 species